AGAUAUCAUCCUUGUGUGAGACCCAGGUUAGGUCUCACAGGUAAAAAUGGUUAAAAUAUGUGUUGGUUAGAACCACCUUCACCAAUAACUAAAUUAAAAAUUAAAAAAAAAUUAUAUGAGAUUAUAUAUUGAUUUAGUGUUUCUUAAAAUAAAUUAUAAUAUGAUGAAAUACGGUUGUAUAUAAAAAAAAGAAAAAAGAAAGAAACCUAAGAACCCUUGAAAGCACAACGAAGAAGCAAAUUAAGGAUCAUGCCUCAUUAAAACCUUUGCAGGGAAAACACAAUCAAAGGAAAAAAGAGUGCUCGUCUAUACAACAAUCCACAACAGAAGAGAGAACCCGAACAAAAAAGGAUGCCACGGACAUGAACUCCGGACUAACCAUCACCCAAGCCGUAGCACCCCAACCGGUAAAGAAAGG
rnacentral:lncRNA from 1 species